AAAGUUUGAUCCUGGGUCAGGAAGAAAGUUGGCGGUGCGCUUAAUGCAUGCUAGUUGAGGGAGAACCUUUUCAUCCGUAAGGACCGAAUGGGGAAACCGGCGAACGGGUGCGUAACACGUGAGGAACCUGCCCCGAAGACCGGGAUAGCCCGAGGAAACUCGGAUUAAUACCGGAUACCCUCCUCGGACCACACGGUCUGUUGAGGAAAUGGUCCGCCGCUUCGGGAUGGCCUCGCGGCCUAUCAGCUUGUUGGUGAGGUAAUGGCUCACCAAGGCUAAGACGGGUAGCUGGUCUGAGAGGACGAUCAGCCACACUGGGACUGAGACACGGUCCAUACUCCUAUGGGAGGCAGCAGCAAGGAAUAUUGCACAAUGGGCGCAAGCCUGAUGCAGCGACACCGCGUGCGGGAUGAAGGCCCUCGGGUUGUAAACCGCUUUCACGACGGACGAAAAUGACGGUACCUCCAGAAGAAGGUCCGGUCAACUACGUGCCACCUUCCGCGGUAAUACCUAUGGGCCAAACGUUGUGCCGGAUUUAUUGAGCGCAAAGGGCUCGUAGGCGGUUCAACAAGUCGAUCGCGAAAGCCCGGGGCUCAUCUUCGGGACGCCGGUCGAAACUGUUGUGACUAGGGUCCGGUAGAGGUGACCGGAAAUCUCGGUGCCACAGUGGAAUGCCCUGAUAUUCCCAGGAACACCUUU
rnacentral:rRNA from 1 species